CUGGGCUCGAAGCGCAGUGGACCGGGGUGGAAACAUCCCUUCCCCUUAAAAGGCUGCUGCGGAGGUACUGCAUGGCUGUCGUCAGCUCGUGUCGUGAGAUGUUGGGUUAAGUCCCGCAACGAGCGCAACCCUUAUCCCUAGUUGCCAUCGGGUCAAGCCGGGCACUCUAGUGAAACUGCCUCGGAUAACGAGGAGGAAGGUGGGGAUGACGUCAAGUCCUCAUGGCCUUUAUGUCCAGGGCUACACACGUGCUACAAUGGUCGGUACAAACCGUCGCAAACCCGCGAGGGGGAGCUAAUCGGAAAAAGCCGGCCUCAGUUCGGAUUGGAGUCUGCAACUCGACUCCAUGAAGCUGGAAUCGCUAGUAAUCGCGGAUCAGAACGCCGCGGUGAAUA
rnacentral:rRNA from 1 species